rnacentral:misc_RNA from 1 species
GAAAUGCGAUAAGUAAUGUGAAUUGCAGAAUUCAGUGAAUCAUCGAAUCUUUGAACGCACCUUGCGCUCCUUGGUAUUCCGAGGAGCAUGCCUGUUUGAGUGUCAUGGAAUUCUCAACUCUAUUUGCUUUUGUGAAUAGAGCUUGGAUUUGGAGGUUUAUUGCUGGUACUUGUGAUCGGCUCCUCUUGAAUGCAUUAGCUCGAACCUUUGCGGAUCAGCUAUCGGUGUGAUAAUUGUCUACGCCGUUGCAGUGAAGCAUAUCAAUGGGCUCGGCUUCCAAUCGUCCUUUACUGGACAAUGACUGUGACCUUUGACCUCAAAUCAGGUAGGAUUACCCGCUGAACUUAAGC